UGCCCCUGUCGGAAUCCACUCCUUCGCUUUCUCAUCUCAGGGAUGGGCUAUUCCCCUCCCUCUCUCUCUCUCCAUGUCCAGACCACACAAAGCACCUUAGCUCACUCCCAUGGCCGCUGCCGCGACUGUGCCCUUCUCAGCCUCGCGUUUCCUCCACAGGCCGAGCAGCUUAGCAGAAUUAAGGGCUAGAUUUGCGUCGACAUGUGCGCUUUCAAAGGUGGGUCCGCAGCUGCUUCUGAGGAGAGGUUCCGUGCCCGCAAGAGAGCUGGUGAUCAGAGCUGCGAGAACAGAGUCCAAAGGGGUCUCUUCAGGAUUCAGAGCUCCGCAGUUUCAGCUGGAGGAGCCACUGACUGGGAAAAUGUGGAGUCUCGAGGAUUUUGAGUCUUAUCCCGCUUUGCUGGUUAUGUUCAUUUGUAAUCACUGCCCAUUUGUCAAACACUUGAAGAAAGAUAUCGUGAAGCUUGCAGAUUUCUAUAUGAAGAAAGGACUGGCAGUUGUUGCUAUAUCGUCGAAUUCUAUAACCACACACCCCCAGGAUGGACCGAAGUUUAUGGCAGAAGAAGCGAAAGUAUUCGGUUACCCCUUCCCUUAUCUUUAUGAUGAGUCACAAGAUGUAGCCCGCGAUUUUGGUGCCGUUUGCACGCCAGAAUUCUUUUUAUUCAAGAAGGAUGGUAGAAGGCCGUUUGAGCUCGUGUACCAUGGGCAAUUUGAUGAUUCUCGACCAAGUAACAACAUGCCGGUCACUGGGAGGGACUUAAGCUUAGCGAUAGAUUGUGUUCUUAGUGGCCAACCAGUAUCAUCACUUCAAAAGCCAAGUGUCGGGUGCAGCAUAAAGUGGCAUCCUGGGACAAAACUGUAAACACACAACUACCACUUCAGGGACUACUCCCAUCCUUUCUUGUGUUUCUCCAAUUUUUUCGGUAGUUUCUCAGAUUUUACAUCAACCACCUGCUGUAAGAUUGAUCGGAUGGACAAGAUUUGGUGCUUUGAUGUGUUAGAUUGGCUUGUGGAGUCUUGUUUAUGAGAAAGUGCGCUCCCCGGGAGGUUGGCUUCCUUUGCAGAUAAAAGUUUAAUAAGUAGCUAGCAGCUUGGAAAAGAAAAUCUUUGUACUAUUGUUCCAUCAUCAUGUUAAUAUUUUUUUUAUCGGUUUCUACUUGAAUCUUUUCCCAUGUAAUUGUUGCAACACAGAUUUCUAGACGAUGCUGGAGCAACUAUUUCCGUGCCCACAAUCAUGUGUUGUGCUUGUACAAAUCUGUCCAUCUCUAUUGUGGGAGUUGUCUGCUCAUAAGAAGUGGUGAUAGUAAGUUUACAAGUGGAUAGAAGUGUUUUGUCUCUCAGAAAGCAUUAUGCAAUAAGAGUGGUCCUGUUUUCUUUCUUCUAGA